ensembl:snRNA
ACCAUCCUUUUCUUGGGGUUGCAGUACUGUCCAAAGAGCAUGUAGUGAGGGCAGUACUGCUAACGUCUACAUGACACACCCACAUCAUGCUUUAGCUUGGUGUAAUUUUUGGAAAA